rnacentral:rRNA from 1 species
AUUGAGCGCUGGCGGCAGGCUUAACACAUGCAAGUCGAGCGGGGUGAUGGUGCUUGCACUAUCACUUAGCGGCGGACGGGUGAGUAAUGCUUAGGAAUCUGCCUAUUAGUGGGGGACAACAUCUCGAAAGGGAUGCUAAUACCGCAUACGUCCUACGGGAGAAAGCAGGGGAUCACUUGUGACCUUGCGCUAAUAGAUGAGCCUAAGUCGGAUUAGCUAGUUGGUGGGGUAAAGGCCUACCAAGGCGACGAUCUGUAGCGGGUCUGAGAGGAUGAUCCGACACACUGGGACUGAGACACGGCCCAGACUCCUACGGGAGGCAGCAGUGGGGAAUAUUGGACAAUGGGGGGAACCCUGAUCCAGCCAUGCCGCGUGUGUGAAGAAGGCCUUAUGGUUGUAAGGCACUUUAAGCGAGGAGGAGGCUCUUUUGGUUAAUACCCAAGAUGAGUGGACGUUACUCGCAGAAUAAGCACCGGCUAACUCUGUGCCAGCCGCCGCGGUAA